rnacentral:rRNA from 1 species
CGGCGUAAAGAGUGGUUAUGGGACCCCCACACUAAAGUCGAAACCCCCUCUAACUGUUAUACGCAUUCAGGGGCCUUAAUCUCUCUUACGAAAGUGACUUUACCACCGCUCACCAGAACCCACGACAGCUAGGGUACAAACUGGGAUUAGAUACCCCACUAUGCCUAGCCAUAAACUUAGAUAUUUAGAUACAACAGAUAUCCGCCAGGGGACUACAAGCACUAGCUUAAAACCCAAAGGACUUGGCGGUGCCUCAGACCCCCCUAGAGGAGCCUGUUCUAGAACCGAUAACCCCCGUUCAACCUCACCACUCCUUGCCCUUUCCGCCUAUAUACCACCGUCGCCAGCUUACCCUAUGAAGGUAAAAGUAAGCAAAAUGGAAAAGCUCCAAAACGUCAGGUCGAGGUGUAGCACACGGAGUGGGAAGAAAUGGGCUACAUUGCCUGUCCCAGGCUAUCCACGGAAAGUCACCUGAAACGGUUACUCAAAGGUGGAUUUAGCAGUAAAGGGGGAAUAGAGUGCUCCCUUGAAGCCGGCUCUGAGGCGCGCACACACCGCCCGUCACUCUCCCCGACUCGCACAUAUUUCAGUAAAUAACACCAUAACACAAAACAUAGGGGAGGCAAGUCGUAACAUGGUAAGUGU